GACGAACGCUGGCGGCGUGCCUAAUACAUGCAAGUUGAGCGCUGAAGGUUGGUACUUGUACCAACUGGAUGAGCAGCGAACGGGUGAGUAACGCGUGGGGAAUCUGCCUUUGAGCGGGGGACAACAUUUGGAAACGAAUGCUAAUACCGCAUAAAAACUUUAAACACAAGUUUUAAGUUUGAAAGAUGCAAUUGCAUCCCUCAAAGAUGAUCCCGCGUUGUAUUAGCUAGUUGGUGAGGUAAAGGCUCACCAAGGCGAUGAUACAUAGCCGACCUGAGAGGGUGAUCGGCCACAUUGGGACUGAGACACGGCCCAAACUCCUACGGGAGGCAGCAGUAGGGAAUCUUCGGCAAUGGACGAAAGUCUGACCGAGCAACGCCGCGUGAGUGAAGAAGGUUUUCGGAUCGUAAAACUCUGGUGGUAGAGAAGAACGUUGGUGAGAGUGGAAAGCUCAUCAAGUGACGGUAACUACCCAGAAAGGGACGGCUAACUACGUG
rnacentral:rRNA from 1 species